GGACUAUGCCGGAGCUUCCAGGUUGGUAAGUGCGAAGCAGGAAUCGGCAUCUUGAUUGGUAAAAUGGUUUGUGUAGAUGUGUUAUUCCUACAUGUGGAUAAAUGGUGUGAUUAUACUUACAAGUGGUAAAUCAGGGACAUUAAUUUGUACUUGAUUUCCUACAAGUGGUUGAACAAGAUGAUGAACCAGUCCCUACAAGUGGUUAAAACAAACUUAUUUUCUGGAAAAAUCAUUUUGAUUAAAACAAACUUAAGUGUUUUGAAAUCUUAAUGAGAAAAUAGUUUGUUGAAAGGGGGAGUUCUGAUUGUUUAUGCCUAGUGGAUGUUUGUUUUACAAAACUUGUUUUUCUACAAAGUGGAUCUAGAGCUUAGUUUGUUUUUCAAAUAUUUGUUAAAUGUGUUUGCAUUUUAGGGGGAGUAGAAAUUUCAGAAAAUCCAAAAACAUUUAGAAAAUUUGAAAAAGUAAAAAACAUGAUAAAAUCAAAAAACGAGUUUUGUUGUCAAAAAGAGGAAAUGAUAGUAUAUCAGUGGACUAUCACAACAUGCUAAAGAAAUGUAAGGUCAAAAAUGUAAUAAACAAUCUCACGGAUGAUGUGUCAGUAGGUUUUUGCACAUUUAGUAUAUUGUGACGAGAUAUAAAUCUAAAUUUCAAACUUGCUUAUUUUGUGGGUAACAUUUUCUUGGAUAUAUGGGUAACCCCCGAAAUCUUGUUUGAAAGGUCCCUCUUUCUGAGAUACUAGGUCUUUAUACUCAUUGAUAUCUGGGGUAUUAUUUCGGGACUUCUGCUGAAUGGAAAUUCUGACCUAGUCCCCGUAUAAUACUUUCUACAAAUGCUUGAAAUAUAGCAUCGCCCUCAGCAAAUUGAUGAAACAAUAAAAUUGAUAAUCAUUGCUGUUGUAAAAAGAUCCUCUAAAGGGGACACACCAAAAGUUGAAGCCGUCAUCUCUCUGCGUAUAUGGAAGUAUCGACCUGAGCUCUCACGGCCCUUGCAAUUAACCCAUUUACAGAUAUCAUCUGUGGUAUACUCACCUGUAAGACUGAAUAUUGGGAUCUGGGUACGGGAGUAUAUUCAAGUAGUGGGACAUGCGAAUAAGUUUAAGUGCUUAAGACAUUAAUAUCGUAUCUCGAAACAAUUGAACUUUGUGUGAGAAUUUAAAGUGGACCAAUAUACUGACAAUCUAGAUGAAUUGUUUAGAACUUAAAAUGAAAUGAAGCUUAACGGUGUUGGUGAUAUGUCUCAAAAACUGAUAUGAUCCUCUUACACAAACUCACAAAAAUAUUGUCUGUAAAUAUUUCUUUACUGCAUUACAUUUCUCUUAUCUUAAUAAUCCAAAAAGAUUUUCUGUGUGUUUUAGCAUAAAUUUUGAAAAACUCAAAAAGAUUUUUGACAACUGAUAUUCGAAAGCUGAUUUUCAAAGUUCCAAGUGCUAAACAUGAUGAUCAUGAAGUGAGGGGGAGUCUAUCUUUAAUGAAAUAUGUUUUUGUGUAAAUCAAACAAGUGGUUCAUCAUGCGUGUAGUGAGAGGGAGUCUGAGUUAGAGCAUUCAUCUCAUCUAUAUUUGAAAUGUGUAAGAUUUACUUUGAGGUAGAGAUUGUGCAGAUAACUUGAGCAGAACGUAAGCCAGGUUACGAUCUUGGAACCAGACUGAUUGAUCCUGAGAAGCUUGUGUUUAAAGAAGCCAGAUCACGAUACCUGAGGAUUCUGUGGAUAGAGCAUGAGCCAGGUUUUGAUUCUGUGGACAAAGUUUGAACCAUGGAAUGAUCUUGAAUAUGUGAAAACCAAGAUUCCGAUGCCUAAGAACAUUGAAUUAAAGAAUAGAGCUAGGUGAUCUUGGGAUAUGAUCCAGACAAGGAUCCUGAAGCAGAUGAUGCUGAUGAACUUAAGGAAUGCCAGCACAUUGUUAGGGAGAGUCUGUUGAUGCUGUUUGAAAGAGUGAAGCCCAGAGACUGAUCAAGAUUGAAGAUGCGAAGACUCGACACUGUAUGACUCGUCAACAUCUGAGGGGGAGUCUGUUAGUGCAUGCAUCUGUCGAUUUCGUCUUGUAUCGAGUCUUAGUCUAGAUAGGUUAGAUCAGGGCACGUUUUAUGAGGAAAUAGUAAAGUUUAGUGUGAUUCAAGCUGAUUCCGCUUGAAAGUGCUCAUGGCAGUUUCAAGCGAAAUCAUAAGACUUGAUUCCGCUUGAGUGUGCAUGUGUACAGGUUUCGCUUGAAAGGUAUUCCGCUUGAACUGUUUCAAGCGGAAUCAGAGUAGUAUAUAUAUGGGUCCAAGCGAAAUCAUUGUAACGGUUCUUGAAUUCCAUACCGAGGUACUGCCGGUGUGAGAUUUGGAUGUAAUCACUGUGACAACUCGAGUUUCUGACUUUCACUUUCGCAUUAAAUGCGCGUUGACUUUGACUGUU
rnacentral:lncRNA from 1 species